UACAGAGGUCUCAAGCGUUGUUCGGAUUCAUUGGGCGUAAAGGGUGCGUAGGUGGCGCGGUAAGUCGGGUGUGAAAUUUCGGAGCUUAACUCCGAAACUGCAUUCGAUACUGCCGUGCUUGAGGACUGGAGAGGAGACUGGAAUUUACGGUGUAGCAGUGAAAUGCGUAGAUAUCGUAAGGAAGACCAGUGGCGAAGGCGGGUCUCUGGACAGUAACUGACGCUGAGGAGCGAAAGCGUGGGGAGCGAACAGG
rnacentral:rRNA from 1 species